GUCGCGUUAGCUCAGGUGGGUAGAGGGAUGGCGUCGGGGCAGAGGUCCGGGGUUCGAGUCCCCGGUGGGGUA